rnacentral:misc_RNA from 1 species
UUUCCGUAGGUGAACCUGCGGAAGGAUCAUUAAAAAAUAGAACUUCCAAUGGGAGUUCAUUAAUAAUCCUACCCUUUGUGAAUUUGUUUGUUUGAAAUAAUUUUUUUUCCAAAAAAAUUAUUGAAUGUCUUUCCCUGUUUUUGGUUGAAGCGUAAAAGUGGAGACCAAGCAGGGGAAUGGCAAACAUUAAUUUUUUUGAAGAAAGACCUUUUUUAAAAUUAAACUUUUUGUAUUCAUUUGUCUAAAAUUAUUUUUAUAAUAUAAAAACAACUUUUGACAAUGGAUCUCUUGGUUCUCGCAACGAUGAAGAACGCAGCAAAAUGCGAUAAGUAAUGUGAAUUGCAGAAUACGUGAAUCAUCGAAUCUUCGAACGCAUAUUGCACUUUUUUAGUUUACUAAAAAAGUAUGUCUGUUUGAGUAUCAGUAAAAUAUUCUCAUAAAAAACUUUUUUUGUUUUUUAUGGUUAUGAGUGUUUUACAACGAUAAACAAGUUGUUUCACUUUAAAUUCUUUGAAAUUUAAAAAAUCGUUAAAACUAAUUUUAAAAUGAUUUUUUAAAAUUGGAUAAAAUUUUCCCGUAAAAAAGGAAUAACCUAAACAAUUUUAAAAAAUUUAAAAUUGGUUGAUUUUUUUAAAUCCCAAAAGGAAAAAAGUAAAAAUUAACUUGAUCUCAAAUCAGAUAAGAGUACCCGCUGAACUUAAGCAUAUCAAUAAGCGGAGGAAAAGAAACUAACUAGGAUUCCCUCAGUAACGGCGAGUGAAGCGGGAAGAGCUCAAAUUUGAGAUCUUCAAGGUUCUACCUUGACGAAUUGUAGUUUAAAGAAGUGUUUUCUGUUGGAAUAGUUUGGUAUAAGUUCUUUGGAAUAGGACAUCAUGGAGGGUGAGAAUCCCGUAACGACCAUUUAUUCCAGCUCUGUGAUACACUUUCAAAGAGUCGGAUUGUUUGGGAAUGCAGUCCAAAAUGGGUGGUAAAUUUCAUCUAAAGCUAAAUAUUGGCGAGAGACCGAUAGCGAACAAGUACCGUGAGGGAAAGAUGAAAAGAACUUUGAAAAGAGAGUUAAACAGUACGUGAAAUUGUCAAAAGGGAAGCGUUUGACACCAGUGUUGUUUUCUCGAAAAUCAAUUAAAAAUGACUUGAUUUUGUGUAAGGCGACCUCAUCAGCGUUUUGCACUCUUUUCUUGUCCUUUUUAAUGCACUUUUCGUUUAACAAGUCAACAUCAAUUUCUUUUGUUGUAAAAGAGUCAUUGGAAGGUGGCUUUCUUUUCGGAGAAAGUGUUUAUAGCCUUUGGCUUCUGCAAUCGGAGAGAUUGAGGUCUGCAGCGUAGAUCCUUCGGGUUGGAUGCAUUAGUGCUAAGUUAUAGCCUUUCAUAGACAACUUGUUGACUAUGAUCAGUCAUGUAGCUUACUCGCUGAUGUUAUUU